GUUAGGAAUAUUGGACAAUGGGCGCAAGCCUGAUCCAGCCAUGCCGCGUGAGUGAUGAAGGCCUUCGGGUUGUAAAGCUCUUUCAGUGGGGACGAUAAUGACGGUACCCACAGAAGAAGCCCCGGCUAACUUCGUGCCAGCAGCCGCGGUAAUACGAAGGGGGCUAGCGUUGUUCGGAUUUACUGGGCGUAAAGCGCACGUAGGCGGAUCGUUAAGUCGGGGGUGAAAUCCUGGAGCUCAACUCCAGAACUGCCUUCGAUACUGGCGAUCUUGAGUCCGGAAGAGGUGAGUGGAACUCCUAGUGUAGAGGUGGAAUUCGUAGAUAUUAGGAAGAACACCAGUGGCGAAGGCGGCUCACUGGUCCGGUACUGACGCUGAGGUGCGAAAGCGUGGGGAGCAAACAGGAUUAGAAACCCCGGUAGUCC
rnacentral:rRNA from 1 species